UGGCGAACGGGUGAGUAACGCGUGAGGAACCUGCCUCAAAGAGGGGGACAACAGUUGGAAACGACUGCUAAUACCGCAUAAGCCCACGACCCGGCAUCGGGAAGAGGGAAAAGGAGCAAUCCGCUUUGAGAUGGCCUCGCGUCCGAUUAGCUAGUUGGUGAGGUAACGGCCCACCAAGGCGACGAUCGGUAGCCGGACUGGGAGGUUGAACGGCCACAUUGGGACUGAGACACGGCCCAG
rnacentral:rRNA from 1 species